rfam:Vibrio sp. J237 Contig_15, whole genome shotgun sequence.
ACAACAACAAUAAGAUCAGCAACAAAAAACCUAACGAAUCUGACAUAAAAACAACAACAGGCCAGAUGAGUAGCAAACAGAUUUUUUUGGAAAGGGUUAGCUUUUUCCGGGUAACACGGCAAUCAGAUCGAUAAUAAUAAAACUACCUGAAGGUAGCUGGACUGAUUGGAUCAACCCAGAUUCUGGAGCGACAAGAGUAAUACCAGCAUCCAAAAAAAUACGUUUUCCUUGGAUCCAGAUGGAUCAACGAACAGUUAGGCAACAGCGAUCAAAAUAAAAACAAUAGAUCGAAAUAAUAAAAACAGCGCUAAAGCAUUAUUUGAAGGGAGCCUCGGCUCCCUUCAUUGCUUUCAGAACCCCGUAAAAUCCCCUCGUA